AAUCAUUAACCAUCCUGGCAACUGGCAUACGUACUGAGCUCCUCGGCCACCUCGUCCAGGCAGAUGUCGUUAUUCACAGCAGGGUUGGGGUACUUGGGGUACCGCGCUAGGAAUUUGUGGCAUAGCAACCCCAAGCUCUUCUCCUUCCGACUCGGCUGGGAUUUCUCAAAUUCGUCUCCUGAUAAGUGUUCCUGCAGAGGGAAAGGGAUGUGAACCUGUUUUGUACAAAUUGGUGGCUUGUUUGGGUUCUUCAGAAUUGUGGCUUCUGAUUCACUGGAGGUGGCUGUGCCCCUACCCCGCAACCCCCUGAAGUGGCUGGCAUUGGUGCAAAUGAGGCUGUUGAACCUGAUCGUGUUCUCUCUGGCCUUGGACCUGAGUGCUGCAGAGAGAGAGAGAGAGGGAGACUCUGAUGGCUCUGAAGAUCAUGGCCCUUCCCAUAUGAGGUUCUAGGCAGUAUUCCUGAGCCGGUCUCUUGCUCACUCCCCAGCCCUUUUGAAUACCCCUUUUCGGUAUGAAUUUGAUGAUCUAAUUUGACUAUCUCUCAAAUGCUCAGGUGUGUUACAGUUUUACUCUUCACUGUAUCAGUUUGUCACACGGUUAAGAGAGCAGGAUCUACCCUUCACUCGGGGUCAUUCUCUGCAUCCUAGCUGAUGUUCAGUGAAAGCUCCAAGGGUUUGUCAAUGUGGAAACUGGUUGGCAGUCAAUCGAUGGUCUCGCAGCCACAGUUAGAGAUGAGCUGCAUCUGGGUCUGCCCAUGUGCUUUUAGAAUAGGCUGAACUUUAUAACACAUUCAAUCUUUGGAAUAAACUGCCACCGUUUUAUUGUUAGUUGAACUAUAUACAAGGUUGCUGGGGUAGGAUAUUUCAGGGGCAGAGUGCUUGCCUAGCAUGCAUGAGACUGUAGGUGGACUCCAUCCCCAGGACCAAAAUAAUAAUUUUAUUCAUAGAGGAAGAUGUUUGCCUGGGUUCAAUGCCCAACAACUCCAGCUUUGGAGGAUCCAAAUGCUUCUGUCUUCUGAGGUCACUAGCAUGGACAUAGCCCCUACCACACAUGUACACACAAUUAAAAAACAAAGCAUAGGAUUUGGAGUAAAACAGACUUUGCUUUUAAAGCCCCAUAAUAAUAUUGCAAUGCUGUAGACAUGAACACUUUCUCAACAACCCCCAUACACAUAUACUGAAAGAGAAAUUAAAAUAUAACCCUGAGUGGGCCUUACAAGGAGAAGAUGAGUUAGUGCAUGAAAAACAGCAGUGUUUAGCAUGUGCUAAAUAAAGAAAGCUGUUAUAUAUUGCCAUGUGUAAUCUAAUCCAAAACAAUCCAUACAUGUGUGUAUCUGGAUUUGCCUUUAAAAAAAAAAAUGUUCUAAUCACCACAGCGAGA
rnacentral:lncRNA from 1 species